rnacentral:rRNA from 1 species
GACGAACGCUGGCGGCGUGCUUAACACAUGCAAGUCGAACGGUGAAGCGCCUUCCUUUUUGGUGGGUGUGGAUGAGUGGCGAACGGGUGAGUAACACGUGAGUAACCUGCCCCCUUCUUCUGGAUAACCGCAUGAAAGUGUGGCUAAUACGGGAUAUUCUGGGUCUGUCGCAUGAUGGGUCUGGGAAAGAUAUUGUUUCGGUGGGGGAUGGGCUCGCGGCCUAUCAGCUUGUUGGUGGGGUGAUGGCCUACCAAGGCGGUGACGGGUAGCCGGCCUGAGAGGGUGGACGGUCACACUGGGACUGAGACACGGCCCAGACUCGUACGAGAGGCAGCAGUGGGGAAUAUUGCACAAUGGGCGCAAGCCUGAUGCAGCGACGCCGCGUGAGGGAUGGAGGCCUUCGGGUUGUGAACCUCUUUCGCCAGUGAAGCAGGCCUGCCUCGUUUGUGGGUGGGUUGACGGUAGCUGGAGAAGAAGCGCCGGCUAACUACGUG